UGGCGACCGGCGCACGGGUGAGUAACACGUAUCCAACCUGCCGAUAACUCUGGAAUAGCCUUUCGAAGAAAGAUUAAUACCGGAUGGCAUACGAAUAUCGCAUGAUAUUUUUAUUAAAGAAUUUCGGUUAUCGAUGGGGAUGCGUUCCAUUAGUUUGUUGGCGAGGUAACGGCCCACCAAGACAACGAUGGAUAGGGGUUCUGAGAGGAAGGUCCCCCACAUUGGAACUGAGACACGGUCCAA
rnacentral:rRNA from 1 species